rnacentral:rRNA from 1 species
UACGAGUGCCCCAAGCGUUAUCCGGAAUUAUUGGGCGUAAAGGGUGAGUAGGUGGCUAUAUUAGUCUUGUGUUAAAGCCUUCGGCUCAACCGAAGAUAUGCAUAGGAAACGGUAUAGCUAGAGUAUGUGAGAGGUGUGUAGAACUCAUGGAGUAGGGUGAAAUCCGUUGAUAUCAUGGGAAUACCAAAGCGUAGGAGCAGCACAACUGGCACAUUACUGACACUGAAUCACGAAAGCGUGGGUAGACGAAUGGG